rnacentral:rRNA from 1 species
UACGUAGGGCGCGAGCGUUGUCCGGAAUUAUUGGGCGUAAAGAGCUCGUAGGCGGUGUGUCGCGUCGGCCGUGAAAACCUGCAGCUUAACUGUGGGCUUGCGGUCGAUACGGGCAUCACUGGAGUUCGGCAGGGGAGACUGGAAUUCCUGGUGUAGCGGUGAAAUGCGCAGAUAUCAGGAGGAACACCGGUGGCGAAGGCAGGUCUCUGGGCCACUACUGACGCU